rfam:Ailuropoda melanoleuca scaffold351_85, whole genome shotgun sequence.
CCACGUCAAGCCUUUGGCAUCAUUAUCCUCAUCACUAAAUCCUACAGAGUACAGGGCGGAAAACGGUGCACAC